UACGUAGGGAGCAAGCGUUGUCCGGAUUUAUUGGGCGUAAAGAGCGCGUAGGCGGCUUGGUAAGCCGGAUGUGAAACCUCCAAGCUCAACUUGGAGCGGCCAUUCGGAACUGCCAUGGCUAGAGUCUGGUAGGGGAACACGGAAUUCCUGGUGUAGCGGUGAAAUGCUUAGAUAUCAGGAGGAACACCAGUGGCGAAGGCGGUGUUCUGGGCCAGUACUGACGCUGAGGAGCGAAAGCGUGGGGAGCAAACAGG
rnacentral:rRNA from 1 species